rnacentral:miRNA from 6 species
UCACUGGGCAAAGUGUGUCU